rnacentral:lncRNA from 1 species
GAGAUAUCAUCAUUUUUCUUCAGCAAAAACGCCAUGGAAGGUCUGAAAGCUGCUGGUUUUUCAUACUUUGACAUAUGUGAGUUCAAUUCUUUCCCUUUUCUUUGAGAUUUUUAUGUUUUUGUGACUUUUACAAUUAAGUCCAAGUGUUUAAUUCAUUAGUUUUUUAUUUUAUGGACAAAAUUAAAAGUUAUCAUUGACAAGUUUUGGCUGUUUAUGAUGAAUUAAAAUGAAUUUGAAGCUUUGAUUUUAUUGUUUGAUGAUUUUAUCAAGUAAUUUCAAUAGAAAUUGAUUUUAGGACCUAAUUAUGAGAAAGUUGUGAAUUAAGGUUUAGUGUUAAAAUUAUAAUUUUCAAAGGUUGUGUAAUAGUUUAGAAUGAUGGAAUAAAAUGUUAAUUGAGAAAAAUUAGCUUAUUAGAUGAGCUAAUUGAGCAAGGACUGAAUUGUAUGACCUGUGAAAUUUAGAGGAAAAAUGGUAAUAAACAUCUUGAACUAAAACAGUUUUGGACAGCAGCAGUAGGAUAAUUUUGAAAAAUCACCAUAAAUUGUAAAAAUCGAAUUAGAGGAUGAAUAAUAUAUGAAAUUAAAGCUUAUUGAGUCUAGUUUCUCAUAGAAGAAACGGUGUAAGCAAUUGAAUUGUAAAUUAUGUGCUAUAAUGAGUUUUGUGAGACAAGGUUAGAAUGAAUUCGGAUUCUCCUGUUUUAAAUUUAGAAAAUCACCAAAAAUUAGAGAAAAUUAAUUAGAGGCUCAAAUUUAUAUGCUUAGGAUCUUUAAUGAGUCUAUUUUCAAUAGAAAUCAACAGGAACAUUAUCCGAGUUCUGUACUGUGAUAUAAUUAAUUUUUAGUGAAGAGAGAUCAGAACUGUUGGAUAGUGAAACAGGGGAAACUUAAAUGAAUAAACUGUACUAAUUGGCUAAACCAAAAAUUAUGAAAUUUUUAUGGUAAGAAGACAUCUGAGUCUAGUUUCUGGGAAAAUUUAUGGAUCUUAAUUUGGAAUUCUGUAGCUCAAGAUAAAAAUAAUUUAGUAACUAUAACACAGAUGGACAGCGUGAAUAUUCACAUAAGUAGAUAGUGAAAAUUAUAGAUAAUGUUACCUAUAAGUGUGUUGUUUAUACUAAGGAUGUGGAUGGAGAGGAGGAGGAGGAAAAUAUACAUUUAUAUAUGAAUGACUUGUGUAUAAAUUGAUCACGUGCCCGAUUAUAAUCGAUAAAUGUUGAAUUAGAAAGGAUAUAAUGUUUUAUUUGGAAUAUUUAAUAUGAAAUUAUGAUUAUCGUUAUAAUACAAAAAUCGUACUAGUGAGUUUGUAUAACUAAAUUUUAGUGACCGUUUGUUAAUUUUAUGAAUUUCAUGAUGUGUUAUUUCAUAUGAAUUGAUGAUAAAAUCGUGAAUAAUGUAAGAGCGUGAAAAUUGAAUAAACGAUCAAAUUGAGUAUUUUCAGUGACAAGAUGAAUUGAUGGAAAAGACAAUGGUUGAUCCAUGGCAAAGUGCGAAAUGUAGGUAUGGUAUUAUCCAUACCGAGUUGUGAAAUGUAGGUAUGGUAUCAUCCAUACCGAGUUGAGAAAUAUAGGUAUGGUAUUAUCCAUACUGAGUUAAGAAAUGUAGGCAUGGCAUUUCCCAUACCGAGUUGUGAAACGUAGGUAUGGUAUUUUCCAUACCGAGUAUAAAAUGUAGAUAUGGUAUUUCAAUGAGGAAAACCAUACCGAGUGGUGAAUCGUGGCACUGAGCAAAUGACAGACUCAAAUUCGUAAGACGUUCUCUAAUUUGACAAAGAUUGAUAAGUGACAUAUGAAAUUAGUAUUUGUAGACUUAUGGUUAUUAUUGAUAUUGAGCUGAAUUAAGUGUACCCAUUGAUAUUUAAAUGAUUCAAGGGGUAAGGUUCUGAUAUGAGAUAAUAUGAGUAUGAAAUGAAUUAUCA